rnacentral:lncRNA from 1 species
CCUUGGCCAAAACGUUUUUGUGCGACACACCAGUCAUGUACAUGAGGACUUCCAUUUGCUGCAAACAUUGGUGUCGAGACAUUGUUUUUACUCUGUUAGAUAUAGAGUGCAAAACAAGCUGAAUUUGCAGUACAAGGUAACGUACCGUGCUGUCUGUCCAGUGCCCUGGAGUUGCUAGCUCGAUAAGUGAUGAGUUUGUGAAGGCUGUUGUGUAUGGGUUGAUGUGGCAGCUGCAAUUUUUUUUGGUCACGUGUUUAGUGGUCAACGUUUUAAAGCAAAAAGCGAUUACAUAUUUCAUUCUCGCCCAUUUACUUACAUGUCUU